rnacentral:RNase_P_RNA from 1 species
ACGAUGAACCAGGCUGCCGCGGGGGGGCCCAGGAAAGUCCCUGUACCGCCGCCAGGCGGAAGGGGGCAUGGGCGCCGUCCGAGGAAAGUCCGGGCUCCGCGGGGCACGAUGCCGGGUAACCCCCGGGCGGGAGGGGCGAAAGCCCCUUCCGACAGAAAGCGCAACAGAAAAUAUACAGCCGCUGGCGGCGGCCCCCAGGGGCCGGCAUCCGGCGGUAAUGGUGAAAUGGCGGGGUAAGAGCCCACCGCGGCGCCGGUAACGGUACCGUCGGCAAACCUCAUCGGGAGCAAAAUCAAGCGGCGCCGCAAAAGUUCGCUUUUGCGCCAACUGCCCGUUGGUCAAGCGCAGGUAGAUUGCCGGGGAAUUUCCCCGGAGGCCGUCCGUAAGGCCGGUCCAAGACAGAUGGCAGUCAAGGCCAAACCGCCUCCGGGCGUUUGGCGACAGAACCCGGCUUAUGGUUCAUCGUUUUU